GCAAGUCCUGAGAAAUGCUUGAUUUUCUCCCUCACACCUACUCCCUGCCCUGCUAAGGGGAGAGGAGGGAAGAGUCACAUUGUCCCUGACUGCCAGCCAGCUCACUCAUCAUCACCGCCUCUCAGCAGUGCUCAGCAGCUCCCUGCAGCCUGCCACCUGCCAAAGUCACCAGCUCAGCACUUCCAAAGGACUCAGCGGCAGCUAGGUCCAAGGGCAUUUUCCCCAUAGCACAGGCCGCCCCUUGGCUGCAGCUAGGGACAUGGUGUACCUUGGGAUUUAGCAACUACUUUAGCAGACCUCCCUGAAUCUCACCCGUGCUCCAGGCCUUCCUCCUGCCUUUCUAACUGCCUCUGCCCUGGAGAUAUGGAUCCAACAUGGAAGGAUUUCAAGCACACAGAACAAAGAUUCUUUCCUGGAGCCAAUGCCUUUCUGGGUCAAAAGCAGCACAGAGGAAGUUGAAGCAGAUGGGACAGAGCAGAGACCACAGAGCAAUCAAUCAGUUGUAUUUGUUGAGCACUUACUAUGUGCAGACCACUGUACUAAGCACUUGGGAGAGUACAAUACAACAGAAGGAAGGACAGAAUUCUCCUCCUAUCCCCUGUAAACCAGCAUCAACUGUGUUCAUGCUCAUUUAAGGAAGCUUGAUCUCAUGCAGUUCUCACACAGGGAAAGACUAAAUAGAAAAGCAACAUGGCCUAGUGAAAGAGCACAGGCCUGGGAGUCAGAGGACCUGGGUUUUAAUCUCAGCUCCGCCACUAGUUUGUUGUGUGACCUUGGGCAAGUCAUUUCAUUUCUCUGUGACUCAGUUACCUCAUCCAUCAAAUGGGGAUUAACACUGUGAGUCCCAUGUGGGACAAGGACAAUGUCCAACCCAAUUUGCUUGUAUUCAAAGCUGUGCUUAGUACAGUGCCUGGCACAUAGUAGUGCCUGGCAUAAAGUAAGUGCUUAACCAAUACCACCACUGAUGGAAUGAUGGAGGCUCAUAGCCACAAGAGGUAUUUCAAAGUCACUAAUAAACCUUGUAAUUUGCAUGUUGGUUUUGCAGUGGUUUAGCAUUUUUUUAGUACACAUAUUACUCUUCUCCUGGGAGUCGGACCUAUAUGAGAAUAAUGUAGACUGAAUACAUUUGUCUUUAUGCUUUGAAAAAGGUACAGGGUGCCUCAUUAUUUUCAUAAUGGUAUGUGUUAAGUGCUUCAUUUGUGUCAAACACUGUUCUAAGAGCUGGGGUAGGUACAACAACUCAAUUAGGUCGGGCACAGUCCCUGUCACUUAUAGGGGUCACAGUCUGAAUAGAAGGGAAAACAGGUAUUUAAUCCCCAUUUUACAGUUGAGGAAAGUUCAUGCUUGUAGAUCACAGCAGGUAUGUCAGCUGGCCCCCAUGCUUUUCCAUUUUUCGUAGCUGUGACUAUUAUGGUGACUUUCCCAGUAGUUGGAAGGAGCACUGUCUCGGUAUGAUGAAAGGUUUGGUAUGUUUUUCAGGGCCUCAUCUUCAGCAGUAGAAGUCGUGUUGAAGAGAACAUUGAGAACACUCCCUCCUUGUCUGUGAUGAGACUGAAUCCCUCUUUACUUUUCAGAGGAACCAUGAUGGCCUGAUCAGGGCCAUAUAAUAUCUUUGUUGAUGUGUAGAAGGUUUUUGAUUUGUGAUAAUCUGCAUAGCCCUGGAUCUCUUCUGCUGUGUCAUCUCACCACUGGUCAUGCCUGCUCCUCAAUUUGGUUUGCAAGUCAUGACACAGGUUUCUGAAAGCUUCAUUUUUUGUCUGGGUUUUUAGGUGCUGCUUUUGCAAUAGAUGCUUCACAACAAGAAGACCUUUAACCUCCAAGUCAUUUGCAUCUAUCUAAUCUCAUCUCCUGGCUGGGUCCAGUGACUUUAGGGCUGCUUGGAAUGAGCAUCACAGAGAAAUGGUCAUUCACUAUGUUUACUGAGGGUUAUGGUUUGAUUUUCUUAUUUCUUGUAGUGAUGUUGUUGCAGGACUCCUCACAGAUGAUUUGAUUCCCCAGGAGCUUAACAUUCAGGUGUUUUGGUGGUCUGGGGGCCAGUUCUUGAUGCAGUGGUACUGAGAACAGUAUAAUCUUGGAAUGUUUGAGGCGGUGGUCCAUCCAACAUUCUGCUUCACACAUGGCUGUGACGAUGUGUACGUCUCUGAAGUUCCUCUGCCAUACUAUGAAGUAAACCUUCGAACAAACCCAUAUAGAAUAAUAAAAAAGAUUAAUAAUAAUGGUAUUUGUUAAGCACUUACUAUGAGCCAGGCACUGCUAAAAGCAUUGGGGUAGACUCAAGGUAAUCGGGUUGGACACAGUCCCUGUCCCAUAAAGUGCUCACGGUUUUAAUCCCCAUUGUACAUAUGAGGGAACUGAGGCACAGAGAAGUGAGGUGACUUGCCCAAGGUCACCCAGCAGACAAACGGCAGAGAUGGG
rnacentral:lncRNA from 1 species